GCAAGGGCAGGAGGACUGUUGGCUGGGGCAGGUGUCCAUGAAAAGCCCUGUGUCCCAGGUGAUCCGUGGGGCUGUUUACCACUGGCUAGUUCUCUAGGGCAGGUGGAGGGUGCACAGGUGGAUACAGUGAUGUGCAACCCACCCUGCAUGUUUUUGGUGAUUAAGUGUUAUGGACACUUUGUGGCUAACGUGCACUUUUCUCUUCAUUUCGUUCUUUCUGUUCAGGAUUGUGACUUUUAUUAGGUAUUUUAGGUGGCUUUUCCUCUCUGUGACCAGAGGGCUGACAAAAACAUCAUGGAGGAAGAAGAGUUUAUCUGGCUCAUGAUUUCAGAGGUUCAGUCCACGUGGCUGACUCUGUAGCUCUGGCCCGAGGUGAGGCCGAGCAUCGUAGCAGAAGGGCGUGGAGGAAGAAAGCAGCUCAGGACAUGGCACCAGGAGGCAAAGGGAGCCCCGCUAAAUGCAUGCCCCAGUGACCACCUCCUCCAGCCACACCCUUGCUGCCUACGGUUAGCACCCAGUUAAUGCAUCCGUGGAUUGAUCCAUUGAUUAGACUACAGCUGUCAUAAUCCGGGCAUUUCACCUCUGAAAAUGAGCUUUUGGGAGACAGCUCACACCUAAACCAUAACUGAUGUGUUCAUGGGAAAUUUAGCUAUUUGAACUUUCCUUCUUAUUACUGUCUUCCUUUUA
rnacentral:lncRNA from 1 species